GGUCCACUUAUUUCCGGUGUCAUGGCAGCCCCCAUGAAAAAUUUGACUUUGAAAAAUUUUUGUUCUUCUAAAUACAAUAUCCUUUUGUUAAAUUAACUGAAAAAUGCAAUAGUAUAUAACAUUAUGAGAAGAUAUAGAUAUUCAGCUUCUCAAAGGACUGGAUGGAGAAGAUACCUCCCUGUAAUGUAUGCUUUUACUGCAUGGAAUUUGUUUGGCUAUGUAGCUUGGCAUAAAAUGAUGAAGAAUACUAAAGAAAAACAUCCAGAAUACGAUUCUUUAAGUCAAACACAAAAAGCAUUAUUAGUGUAUGGAUAUGCUGAUUCAAAUACAAAGACUACAAAAAUUACCCUGGGUACUAGAGGCAUGAAAGUGGAAGAAAUGGCAGGCAAAGAUUUAUUUGACAAGUACAAUAAAGAAGGAGAGCAAGUAGAAAUGUCAGUUGAAAAUGUAGUUGAAGCGGAUGAAUGAGAAGAAGGCAGAUGAUUUAUUAGAAGAUUUUAGUGAUACUCGUUACAUUAUUGACCAUGUCAUGGUCUACUGAAAUUAGGGAUAUAAUUCAGUGAUUUACUCUUUUGUUAAUGACUAUUGUUUACAGAUGUAUUUUUGUUUUAAAAUGAAUGUCAUCUAAUAAAGAACAUGUUUUUAUUUAA